UACAGAGGUCCCAAGCGUUGUUCGGAUUCACUGGGCGUAAAGGGUGCGUAGGUGGUCGGGUAAGUCUGAUGUGAAAUCUCCGAGCUUAACUCGGAAACUGCAUCGGAUACUAUUUGGCUAGAGGGUUGGAGGGGGGACUGGAAUACUUGGUGUAGCAGUGAAAUGCGUAGAUAUCAAGUGGAACACCAGUGGCGAAGGCGAGUCUCUGGACAGUUACCGACACUGAGGCACGAAGGCCAGGGGAGCGAACGGG
rnacentral:rRNA from 1 species